rnacentral:rRNA from 1 species
CCUACGGGAGGCAGCAGUGGGGAAUAUUGGACAAUGGAGGGAACCCUGAUCCAGCGACGCCGCGUGCGUGAAGAAGGAUUUCGGUAUUUAAAGCUCUAUUAGCACGGAAGAAAAUGCCGGUACCUGACUAAGAAGCACCGUCUAACUACGUUCCAGCAGCCGCAGCAAUACGUAGGGGGCAAGCGUUAUCCGGAUUUGCUGGGUGUAAAGGGAGCGUAGACGGUUCAGCAAGUCUGAUGUGAAAGGUCGGGGCUCAACCCCGGGACUGCAUUGAAAACUGUGGGACUGGAGUACAGGAGAGGUAAGCGGAAUGCAUGGGGUAGCGGUGAAAUGCGUAGAGAUUAGACGGAACACCGGUUGCGAAGGCGGCUUACUGGACUGUAACUGACGUUGAGGCACGAAAGCGUGGGGAGCAAACAGGAUUAGAUACCCGAGUAGUC